AGCAGCCGCGGUAAUUCCAGCUCCAAUAGCGUAUAUUAAAGUUGUUGCAGUUAAAAAGCUCGUAGUUGAAUUUCGGGGUUCUACCGUUGGUCGGGCUUUGUCUGUACUGGCGUGUAGAAUUUCUACCUUCUGGGGAACCAUCAUGUUAUUAAUUUAACGUGGUGGGAAACCAGGACUGUUACUUUGAAAAAAUUAGAGUGUUUAAAGCGGGCACGCGCUUGAAUACAUUAGCAUGGAAUAACGAAAUAGGACGUUCGAUCUUAUUUUGUUGGUUUCUAGGAUUGACGUAAUGAUUAAUAGGGAUAAUUGGGGGCAUAAGUAUUCAAUUGUCAGAGGUGAAAUUCUUGGAUUUAU
rnacentral:rRNA from 1 species